rnacentral:rRNA from 1 species
AUUGAACGCUGGCGGCAGGCCUAACACAUGCAAGUCGAACGGUAGCACAGAGGAGCUUGCUCCUUGGGUGACGAGUGGCGGACGGGUGAGUAAUGUCUGGGAAACUGCCCGAUGGAGGGGGAUAACUACUGGAAACGGUAGCUAAUGCCGCAUAACGUCGCAAGACCAAAGAGGGGGACCUUCGGGCCUCUUGCCAUCGGAUGUGCCCAGAUGGGAUUAGCUAGUAGGUGGGGUAACGGCUCACCUAGGCGACGAUCCCUAGCUGGUCUGAGAGGAUGACCAGCCACACUGGAACUGAGACACGGUCCAGACUCCUACGGGAGGCAGCAGUGGGGAAUAUUGCACAAUGGGCGCAAGCCUGAUGCAGCCAUGCCGCGUGUAUGAAGAAGGCCUUCGGGUUGUAAAGUACUUUCAGCGAGGAGGAAGGCGUUGUGGUUAAUAACCGCAACGAUUGACGUUACUCGCAGAAGAAGCACCGGCUAACUCCGUGCCAGCAGCCGCGGUAAAAGGG